UGGGGAAUUUUGGACAAUGGGCGCAAGCCUGAUCCAGCAAUGCCGCGUGCAGGAAGAAGGCCUUCGGGUUGUAAACUGCUUUUGUACGGAACGAAAAGGUCUGGGUUAAUACCCUGGGCUCAUGACGGUACCGUAAGAAUAAGCACCGGCUAACUACGUGCCAGCAGCCGCGGUAAUACGUAGGGUGCAAGCGUUAAUCGGAAUUACUGGGCGUAACGCGUGCGCAGGCGGUUUUGUAAGACAGGCGUGAAAUCCCCGGGCUCAACCUGGGAAUGGCGCUUGUGACUGCAAAGCUGGAGUGCGGCAGAGGGGGAUGGAAUUCCGCGUGUAGCAGUGAAAUGCGUAGAUAUGCGGAGGAACACCAAUGGCGAAGGCAAUCCCCUGGGCCUGCACUGACGCUCAUGCACGAAAGCGUGGGGAGCAAACA
rnacentral:rRNA from 1 species